CCUACGGGUGGCAGCAGUGAGGAAUAUUGGUCAAUGGCCGAGAGGCUGAACCAGCCAAGUCGCGUGAGGGAAGACGGCCCUACGGGUUGUAAACCUCUUUUGUCGGGGAGCAAAGCGAGUCACGUGUGACUCAUUGAGAGUACCCGAAGAAAAAGCAUCGGCUAACUCCGUGCCAGCAGCCGCGGUAAUACGGAGGAUGCGAGCGUUAUCCGGAUUUAUUGGGUUUAAGGGGUGCGCAGGGGGAGGUGCAAGUCAGCGGUAAAAUUGCGGGGCUCAACCUCGUCGAGCCGUUGAAACUGGGUGCCUGGAGUGGGCGAGAAGUACGCGGAAUGCGUGGUGUAGCGGUGAAAUGCAUAGAUAUCACGCAGAACUCCGAUGGCGAAGGCAGCGUACCGGCGCCCAACUGACGCUGAAGCACGAAGGCGUGGGGAGCGAACAGGAUUAGAUACCCGAGUAGUC
rnacentral:rRNA from 1 species